AUUGAACGCUGGCGGCAGGCUUAACACAUGCAAGUCGAGCGCGCGGCGGACGGGUGAGUAAUGUGUGGGAAACUGCCUGAGGGAGGGGGAUAAACACUGGAAACGGUAGCUAAUACCGCAUCACAACAGAUGUGCACAGAUGGGAUGAGCUAGUAGGUGGGGUAAUGGCUCACCUAGGCGACGAUCCCUAGCUGGUCUGAGAGGAUGACCAGCCACACUGGAACUGAGACACGGUCCAGACUCCUACGGGAGGCAGUAGUGGGGAAUAUUGCACAAUGGGCGCAAGCCUGAUGCAGCCAUGCCGCGUGUGUGAAGAAGGCCUUCGGGUUGUAAAGCACUUUCAGCGAGGAGGCGUUACUCGCAGAAGAAGCACCGGCUAACUCCGUGCCAGCAGCCGCGGUAAUAC
rnacentral:rRNA from 1 species